rnacentral:rRNA from 1 species
UACGUAGGGUGCGAGCGUUGUCCGGAAUUACUGGGCGUAAAGCGCACGUAGUCGGCUUUGCAAGUCGGGUGUGAAAUCCCCGGGCUCAACCUGGGAACUGCAUCCGAGACUGCAUUGCUAGAGUAUGGGAGAGGGAAGCGGAAUUUCUGGUGUAGCAGUGAAAUGCGUAGAUAUCAGAAGGAACAUCAGUGGCGAAGGCGGCUUCCUGGACCAAUACUGACGAUCAGGUGCGAAAGCGUGGGGAGCAAACAGG